GCUCGUAUAGCUCAGUCGGUCAGAGCGUGGGUCUAAUAAACCCAAGGUCCUGGGUUCGAGCCCCCGUUCGAGCA